rnacentral:lncRNA from 1 species
ACAUCCGUUAAUUUGCAUGAGGCUGUGAGAAAAAAAAUCUUUGAAGAAGUCUGGCUGUCGGGCAGGCCAGUGUAGAAAAUGGCGAGAACACGGUUUCCUGGAGCAUGAAGCUGUGUCUGAGCAUCUUUUGACACCGUCCCAGGAAGAAGAGGCUCAGUCAGCUCUGAGAAGCCCCUCUGAAAAAGCUGGUGUAGGAGGGAGAGAAGUACUAACGGGUACAGGACUGUCCAGGUCUCUCCUGGAUUACUGUGCCGCCUCCCAGCUGAGCUUUCUGAAUUCAGUCGCACCCCUGCAAGUCCUCCUCUAUUGCAGAGUACUCCAAACACAUUUUAUUUUGCCCUCCUAAAUAAAGUGCAAAGAUUUGAGCCCAGCCCCGAACACAUUUAUAUUUAUGCACAAAUCGAAAAUGCCCUCCUGAACCAAAAUUUAGUUAUAUUUUAGAACAUGCACAAAAGAGAAAUUAGAAGAGAAUGAGAAAAAUAAACAGAGGGGUGCUAACAUUUUCUUUGAUUCCUCCCAAUUAAUUGUCUUACCAACCUCACCUGAAAACCACCUGCAAAGUAACCGAAGGAGCUCUGGGCUGGAUGUGGGGUUGAUGUCUUGCUUAGACUGGACUAGACUACUGAUCCCUGAGAGUGAGUCUCAAUUAUCCAAAAAGAGAUUAUUCUUAGGGCUAAAAGUGACAGGAAACGGAUGAAUUAAUAAAUCUGUCCAAGAGGCCAGCCUCGUGGCCGAGCGGUUAAGUUCUCGCGCUCCACUUUGGCGGCCCUGGGUUUUGCUGGUUAAGAUCCUGGGCGCGGACAUGGCACUGCUCAUCAAGCCAUGCUGAGGUGGCGUCCCAAGUAGCACAACCAGAGGGACCUACAACUAGAAUAUACAGCUAGUUACUGGGGGGCUUUGGGGAAAGGAAGGAAACAAAAAGAAGAUUGGCAACAGAUGUUAGCUCAGGUGCCAAUCUUAAAAAAAAAAAAGAAAAAGCAAUCUGUGCAAGAUGUCGUUUGACAGCAGAGACUGAAGAUAAAUAAAUUCAUUUCCUGGUCCUACCAUCAUUAAAUCCAGUCUAUUUAAUAUACUCUUUGCCCAAAGCUAAACUAAGUCUUUCUGGCUGGAUUUCAAAUUUCUUACCUGGCUCUGGGAAAUACACAGAAUUGGGUGGCUACACAAUCUUCAGGUUUGCUUGGGUGGUGACUCUGCAAAGCAAACAUGGGUAUUAGAGGCACAAAAGCAAAGGACAGGGCUACCCCUCCUUGUGAUGGGGACCCUGCUCCCUGGCAGCGGGCCCACCAGCCUACAGGCAUUAAAAGGCAACAACAGUUCCUGCAAAAUCAAACAGCAACUUAGCUGAUCUCCAGCCUGGCUCUUAAACAGAUCUACAGGCAUUGUUUAAGACUUAGGUUUGCUUUUCCUGUUUUCCCAUCAAAGGAAAAUAGCCUAAAAAAAAUAGCGUUCCAAGUGACCAAAGGUUAGAAAAAUUGUCAUGCAAGUGUUUUAAAUUCUUUGUCAUCCCUGAUUUCUU